AUGUUGGCAGAUUAUAAUGCUGACAUUUUCCCUGAGAUAAGAGCAUUCACCAUGUUCACUGUUGUAUUCAUGUGUCUGUGGCUUUUACUGGGUGACUCCAUGGCAGAUUCAAUAGAGUCACUUUUCUCUCCUAAAGUUGUAGAUGAAGGUGAUGAUGUUACUCUGUCCUGCAAAUACAAACCAACCACCUAUUCUACAGGAAACUACCUGCACUGGUACAGACAACAUCCAAAAUCUAGUCCUAAAUUCCUUCUUUAUAUUUCUCAAAGAGGAGAUUUAAGUCCAGACAAACCCCCAGGAAUGACUGCUAAAGUUGAUGAUGGUGAUAAUAAAAGAGUAGAUCUGAUCAUCUCCUCUGCUGCUGUAUCAGACUCUGCUCUAUACUACUGUGCUCUGGUGCCCACAGUGACAGGAAAUCCAGCUGCACUGUACAAAAACCCUGACACAGUUUUACUAUAUGGAAAGCAGCUCUGUCAGUCAUGGUAAGUACAUUACAUGCAUUUUAUGGGGAAAUUGAGCUUCUUUCUUUUCUAAUUUGUAAAGAGUGAUGUGAAUGUGCCAUUUAAUCAGUCUGUAUAUUUCUUUUUUCACAUGUACUAUUACUAUAAAGUUUAAAAGAUUUGGUUGUCAUUGUGCUUAGAUCUUUCUUUAGAU